rnacentral:rRNA from 1 species
GGGAAACGACAUCGAAAGCUUGCUUUCGAUGGGCGUCGACCGGCGCACGGGUGAGUAACGCGUAUCCAACCUGCCCAUCACUUGGGGAUAACCUUGCGAAAGUAAGACUAAUACCCAAUGACGUCUCUAGAAGACAUCUGAAGGAGAUUAAAGAUUUAUCGGUGAUGGAUGGGGAUGCGUCUGAUUAGCUUGUUGGCGGGGUAACGGCCCACCAAGGCGACGAUCAGUAGGGGUUCUGAGAGGAAGGUCCCCCACAUUGGAACUGAGACACGGUCCAAACUCCUACGGGAGGCAGCAGUGAGGAAUAUUGGUCAAUGGGCGAGAGCCUGAACCAGCCAAGUAGCGUGCAGGAUGACGGCCCUAUGGGUUGUAAACUGCUUUUAUAAGGGAAUAAAGUGAGCCUCGUGAGGCUUUUUGCAUGUACCUUAUGAAUAAGGACCGGCUAAUUCCGUGCCAGCAGCCGCGGUAAUACGGAAGGUCCGGGCGUUAUCCGGAUUUAUUGGGUUUAAAGGGAGCGUAGGCCGGAGAUUAAGCGUGUUGUGAAAUGUAGACGCUCAACGUCUGCACUGCAGCGCGAACUGGUUUCCUUGAGUACGCACAAAGUGGGCGGAAUUCGUGGUGUAGCGGUGAAAUGCUUAGAUAUCACGAAGAACUCCGAUUGCGAAGGCAGCUCACUGGAGCGCAACUGACGCUGAAGCUCGAAAGUGCGGGUAUCGAACAGGAUUAGAUACCCUGGUAGUCCGCACGGUAGACGAUGGAUGCCCGCUGUUGGUCUGAAUAGGUCAGCGGCCAAGCGAAAGCAU